rnacentral:ribozyme from 16 species
CAGAGCGAUUGUUGUGUGGUUGUGGAUACCAGUUUUUGUAUGCCAUCUUAUAUAUAUAUAUAUAAUAUAUAUGUAUAUAUAAUACGAAGGUAUCGCAAA